rnacentral:rRNA from 1 species
GGAAUCUUCCACAAUGGGCGAAAGCCUGAUGGAGCAACGCCGCGUGUGUGAUGAAGGCUUUCGGGUCGUAAAGCACUGUUGUAUGGGAAGAACAGCUAGAAUAGGGAAUGAUUUUAGUUUGACGGUACCAUACCAGAAAGGGACGGCUAAAUACGUGCCAGCAGCCGCGGUAAUACGUAUGUCCCGAGCGUUAUCCGGAUUUAUUGGGCGUAAAGCGAGCGCAGACGGUUGAUUAAGUCUGAUGUGAAAGCCCGGAGCUCAACUCCGGAAUGGCAUUGGAAACUGGUUAACUUGAGUGCAGUAGAGGUAAGUGGAACUCCAUGUGUAGCGGUGGAAUGCGUAGAUAUAUGGAAGAACACCAGUGGCGAAGGCGGCUUACUGGACUGUAACUGACGUUGAGGCUCGAAAGUGUGGGUAGCAAACA